UGGGGAAUUUUGGACAAUGGGCGAAAGCCUGAUCCAGCAAUGCCGCGUGUGUGAAGAAGGCCUUCGGGUUGUAAAGCACUUUUGUCCGGAAAGAAAUCCUUGGCUCUAAUACAGUCGGGGGAUGACGGUACCGGAAGAAUAAGCACCGGCUAACUACGUGCCAGCAGCCGCGGUAAUACGUAGGGUGCAAGCGUUAAUCGGAAUUACUGGGCGUAAAGCGUGCGCAGGCGGUUUGCUAAGACCGAUGUGAAAUCCCCGGGCUCAACCUGGGAACUGCAUUGGUGACUGGCAGGCUAGAGUAUGGCAGAGGGGGGUAGAAUUCCACGUGUAGCAGUGAAAUGCGUAGAGAUGUGGAGGAAUACCGAUGGCGAAGGCAGCCCCCUGGGCCAAUACUGACGCUCAUGCACGAAAGCGUGGGGAGCAAACAGGAUUAGAUACCCUGGUAGUCCACGCCCUAAACGAUGUCAACUAGUUGUUGGGGAUUCAUUUCCUUAGUAACGUAGCUAACGCGUGAAGUUGACCGCCUGGGGAGUACGGUCGCAAGAUUAAAACUCAAAUGAAUUGACGGGGU
rnacentral:rRNA from 1 species